UGAGUAACCUGCCCUUAACUCUGGGAUAAGCCUGGGAAACUGGGUCUAAUACCGGAUAUGACUCCUCAUCGCAUGGUGGGGGGGUGGAAAGCUUUUUUGUGGUUUUUGGAUGGACUCGCGGCCUAUCAGCUUGUUGGUGAGGUAAUGGCUCACCAAGGCGAUGACGGGUAGCCGGCCUGAGAGGGUCGACCGGCCACACGUGGGACUGAGACACCGGCCCAGACCUCCGUACGGGAGGCAG
rnacentral:rRNA from 1 species